GAAGGAGAAGAUUGACAAGUGUGUUAAGGAAAAAUUGAUGGAUUUCUGCGAUGUGCUUAAUAUUCCAAUAAGUAGGUAUGGUGUGAAGAAGGAAGAACUCUCUGUGAAGUUACUGGAGUUUUUGGAAUCCCCCCAUGUGACAACUGACAUUUUGCUUGCUGAUAAGGAGCAUAAAGGUCAAAAGCGUAAGAGGAAGGUCACACCGAGCAAAACUGCUAGCUCUGGAGAAGCAUAUGCAGACGCAGAACCCAAG